AGAUCGUUGAUUGGGAAUUGGAGAGCAAGGAUCCCUCUUCCCGGAGCAGGGAACAGCCCUGAACUUCCCCAGCAGCUCAUUAGGGUUUCUGUGCCAGGCACUUUAGGAAUUUUCUGACACUUCUUGGAGAGUAAAAGGUUGUUUGCAAGAGGGUUUUGGUAACAGACAUGCUGGAGUGCACCAAUAUGUGACAGCAGAUCUCCAGCUGAAGAUUCACUAGGCCUGCACUCACCAAUUCAACAGGAAGAAUGCUGGAUUUUGUUCUUACCCAAAUGGAGGAGACAUACAGAAUCUUCAGGAAUCACACUGGCACACGGUGAUGCUAAACUGUGUCUGAACAGGAUAAUUAUGAAAAUUUCUCAUAUGUAUUUAAGACCACGAUGGUCACAGAACUACAGAAUCUUUUUGGUUAGAAAACACCUUCAAGAUCACUGAGUCCACACUUUGACCAAUCCUCACCUUAUCACUCAGCCCAGAGCACUGAGUGCCAUGUCUAGUCAUGGCAGGGACAGAAAUGUGUCACCCUGCUUUUCUGUAAAAAGUGUAACUUCUCUUCCCCACUGGAGAUUCUAUCCAUGCAGCUAAGAAAGUGCAAAGCCAGUUCUUUCACUCAAGAGUUAAUUUGAGG